rnacentral:rRNA from 1 species
AAUACAGAGGUGGCAAGCGUUGUUCGGAAUUACUGGGCGUAAAGGGCGCGUAGGCGGCCUUCUAAGUCGGACGUGAAAUCCCCAGGCUUAACUUGGGAACUGCGUCCGAUACUGGAGGGCUCGAGUGCGGGAGAGGGAUGUGGAAUUCCAGGUGUAGCGGUGAAAUGCGUAGAUAUCUGGAGGAACACCGGUGGCGAAGGCGGCAUCCUGGACCGACACUGACGCUGAUGCGCGAAAGCCAGGGGAGCAAACGGGA